rnacentral:lncRNA from 1 species
UUGGUUCAUAUUAUUUACAAAAACAAUUUUGUAAACUAUUAGUAAAAAAAACCAUUAGUAAAUUAUAAGAAAAAUAAAAACUAUAUUAGUAGAUAAUCUAAAAAAUGAUAAAAGCAAAAUAAAAAACAAACCAUCAGAUGAUCAUCAUGUGGUUUAGAAAAUUAAAAAGUAGAAACCAAAUUUGACAGAAAAUAUUGAGACUUUGUAAUCCUCGGUGAGAGAGUUUAAUCAAAUAACUUUUAUAAGAAAAAAUAAAAAGAA